rnacentral:rRNA from 1 species
UACGUAGGGUGCAAGCGUUGUCCGGAAUUAUUGGGCGUAAAGAGCUCGUAGGCGGUCUGUCGCGUCUGCUGUGAAAACUCGGGGCUUAACCCCGGGCCUGCAGUGGGUACGGGCAGACUAGAGGUAGGUAGGGGAGAAUGGAAUUCCCGGUGUAGCGGUGAAAUGCGCAGAUAUCGGGAGGAACACCGGUGGCGAAGGCGGUUCUCUGGGCCGUAACUGACGCUGAGGAGCGAAAGCGUGGGGAGCAAACAGG